GAAACUAACAAGGAUUCCCCUAGUAGCGGCGAGCGAAGCGGGAAGAGCUCAAAUUUAUAAUCUGGCACCUUCGGUGUCCGAGUUGUAAUCUCUAGAAGUGUUUUCCGCGUUGGACCGCACACAAGUCUGUUGGAAUACAGCGGCAUAGUGGUGAAACCCCCGUAUAUGGUGCGGACGCCCAGCGCUUUGUGAUACACUUUCAAUGAGUCGAGUUGUUUGGGAAUGCAGCUCAAAUUGGGUGGUAAAUUCCAUCUAAAGCUAAAUAUUGGCGAGAGACCGAUAGCGAACAAGUACCGUGAGGGAAAGAUGAAAAGCACUUUGGAAAGAGAGUUAACAGUACGUGAAAUUGUUGGAAGGGAAACGCUUGAAGUCAGACUUGCUUGCCGGAGCUUGCUUCGGUUUGCAGGCCAGCAUCAGUUUUCCGGGGUGGAUAAUGACGGUUUGAAGGUAGCAGUCUCGGCUGUGUUAUAGCUUUCCGUUGGAUACAUCCUGGGGGACUGAGGAACGCAGCGUGCUUUUUGCGAAAGACUC
rnacentral:rRNA from 1 species